AACGGAGGGUGCAAGCGUUGUUCGGAAUUACUGGGCGUAAAGCGCGUGCAGGCGGUCUUUUAAGUCUUGUGUGAAAUCCCUCGGCUUAACCGAGGAACUGCGCGAGAUACUGGAAGGCUUGAAUACGGGAGAAGAGGGCGGAAUUCCCAGUGUAGAGGUGAAAUUCGUAGAUAUUGGGAGGAACACCUGCGGCGAAAGCGGCUCUCUAGACCGAUAUUGACGCUCAUACGCGAGAGCGUGGGUAGCAAACAGG
rnacentral:rRNA from 1 species